rnacentral:rRNA from 1 species
AUACGGGGGGUGCAAGCGUUAUUCGGAUUUAUUGGGCGUAAAGAGCGCGUAGGCGGCUUGGUAAGUCAGAUGUGAAAGCCCGGGGCUCAACCCCGGAAGUGCAUUUGAAACUAUCAGGCUUGAGUAUGGGAGAGGGAAGUGGAAUUCCUGGUGUAGAGGUGAAAUUCGUAGAUAUCAGGAGGAACACCGGUGGCGAAGGCGACUUCCUGGACCAAUACUGACGUUGAGGCGCGAAGGCGUGGGGAGCAAACAGGAUUAGAAACCCCAGUAGUCC